CAGCAGAUACCUUUUCAAUGGGGAAUUAAGAGUAAAAUUGCUAUCGAUGAUUGAUGUACUGGGCAGCCUUGAGCCACAUCUUGGUGAUGAAAGAGCAUUAGCUCUCGAUGCCACCAACAUUGCAUGUGCUGUAGAAGAUUUUAUGACCAAGAAGGGUCUGCUCUUUUAUGCCCUUUGUGGAAUUGGCACUGAAGGCGUCCCUGUUUUGAAUGGAAAGAAGGGUGGAACCAUGAAGUUAAUUGAGAAGCAAAAAGCUCCAUCACCUUUAGAGCUGUUAAGGGAGCUGUUAGAGCUUAGGGGUUCUUUGUGUUAGGUUGUAGGGAUGCAUUGUGCAGAACACAAGCUGAACCUAGCAGCAUGUCAGACAGCCAGAGCCAGUUCUGUACGCCAGUAAAUUUCAAGAACUGUUGCAGCAGCUGUACAACGUUUAUACAUCCACCUUGUUCGAACAACUAGACUGAGUGCUUUGCAAAAUAAUUGUGGAGUUAGAGCCAGGUGCGGAGGGAAGGUCACCGAGCCUUCUGCCACAUGGUGGUAGGCUGUUGGUGGUUCAUGCCCAGCCAUCCGCAGUAAUCUCUCGGCCAUCAUGGUCAGCCUGCCUGGAGAGGCAGAAGAACGCAGUGACAUCAAGGAAGCAGGACUGUUCAAGUUUGUAAUGAAUGUGAAGUUUGUAGGGACCCUAUUGAUGUGUGAGCUUCUCCCGUUAGUUGAUAGGCUUUUGAGAACACUUCAAACAUCAUCACUGCACGUGGACCUUGUGCAGGGACUCGUCAAAUCAUGCAUAAUGACCCUGGAAACACAUGGCACCAUUGAGACAAAGGAUAACGGUUUUUGUGUCAGUCAUGCUGUACAGGUGACAGUCGCAGAAGAAUCUGAGGAAUGGCUCCACAGCACCAAAGAGGCAUUCAACGAGCUGGUAGAAUAUGUCAAGGACAGGUUUCAAGACCACACCCCAUAUUGGCCAGUUAUUCUGUUGUGUUUGCCCGUGGCAGCUACAAAGACAUGGUGCGUUCCAAUGGAAUAGAAAUUGCCAAUACGCUGGAAAGGCUGUGCCCUACUCUUGGCAAGCCAUAUACCCAGGACAUGCUUGCAAAAGCUGACAGCAGCGGACGUUUUGCUUUUUGUGGCACACAGUGUGAAAGAGCUUUUUCCCCUUAUGGUGCACAUAGCUGGAUCAUACCUUGUGCACCUGCCGCACACGGUAGACUGAGAAAGACUUCUCAGCUAUGAAAAUUAUCAAGACACAACUGAGAAAUCGCCUCAAGGAGGAGUUAUUCGACAGCCUCAUUUGUAUUGUAUGUGAUGGGCCUGAUGUUGACAGCUGCCUUAGGUGAUAGGGUAGUGGAAAAGUGGGCCAAGCUGAAUAAUCGGAGACUGAAUCUGAAGUAUGUAGUCUUUUGUAUCGUUGCUUUGUGUGAUUGCGCAUGAACGUCUGUUGUGUUAUCAUUAUUCACCCCUCCCCCUAGUCCUCCAAUGUCCACCUCUCAAAAUUUUUUUAGGGAGAACCCUGAAUACAGGCUAUAACCACAGGGUCUCAUUGUCAAAGGUCACACCGAGUGGCAAAAUAAUUGGUAUGUGAAGUGUACUGUUUCAUAUGCGCUUGUUGAACUAUACAUACCUUUGUAAAGAGUACCAAACUUAUGUACCAAGAACUGUAAAUUCACCCCAAGGAUCACCAGCUAGUUUGAUCACAUAUUUUUCUUAAGUUACCAAAGGCUUGAAAAAUGUUGCUUUUCUGCCAGGUUCGUAAUUCCGUGCCCUCUAUGUCAGAACCAAAUAGUUGGCUGUUGUCUCCAUUUUUGGUUUGUAAAUACAUCUCACAGGUACGGCAAGCUCACUACAGUUACUAAAUAAUGUCAACAAGUCAUCGCUAGGUACCUGUAAGAUAUAUGAAGCAGUACAUUGCAUUCAUAACCAGGCACUGCCACGUUUGUCAUGGAAAAGCAGUAGUAUGCUUAUAUGUGGACUGGGCCAUCUAAAAAAGUUGUCAUUCACUUUAUCAUAUGCUAAAGAGGUGAAGGCAAAAGCCUGUGCAUUCAUGAGACAUUAAAUUACUUGACAUUCUCAUUCAAAUGCAUUGUUACUUCCUAUUACUUGUUUUUCCCACCAAAGGUCAUGGGUUCGGUCAUCAGUGGUGGCAUCAUUAAUUUUGGUGCCAUUGAAUUUUGGUCCCACCAAACGUCGAGGGUUCAACUCCCACCAAAGUUUGCGAGUUCAAGUGUCUUAAAUAAUGUUGCCUUAACACCAAAGGCUGUGGGUUCAACUACCACCAAAAGUCGAGGGUUUGACUCUAACGAAAGGUUGUGGGUUCGAGUGCCUUAACGCUAUCUUAAUUAACUGUACCUUAAUUAAUAUGAGUGUUCAUGAGUUUGACUGCCAUCAAUCUUGGUACCAUAACACGGGACGGUGAAUUUUUUGAUAAUGAAGAACUGCGGAUUUUUCGACCCAUGAGCCACUUAACGCUUUUGCCUUCAUAAUGGUUGCAUCAGAAGCAUGACCACUUUCAUGGAGUGUGUUUCCUUUGUGGACGCUGUCACCACAGAAAUAAUUUACUUUCAAGCAAAACGAACACAAAAUCGUAGGUUUGCGAGUGGUGGCGCUGGCUAAUACUCCCAGGGUUAGUUCUAAUCAUAAAACAUAUAUACCCCAGGAAGUGGAUGGGAAAAUGGUGACACGGUAGCUCAAUCGGUAAGAGUAUUGCAUGCUUAAUGCAAAGACGUGGAACAGUUCCUCACCUGUGGCAAGUAGUUU
rnacentral:lncRNA from 1 species